AGCAGCCGCGGUAAUUCCAGCUCCAAUAGCGUAUAUUAAAGUUGUUGUGGUUAAAAAGCCCGUAGUUGAACCUUGGGCCUGGCUGGCCGGUCCGCCUCACCGCGUGUACUGGUCCGGCCGGGCCUUUCCCUCUGUGGAACCCCAUGCCCUUCACUGGGUGUGGCGGGGAAACAGGACUUUUACUGUGAAAAAAUUAGAGUGCUCCAGGCAGGCCUAUGCUCGAAUACAUUAGCAUGGAAUAAUAGAAUAGGACGUGUGGUUCUAUUUUGUUGGUUUCUAGGACCGCCGUAAUGAUUAAUAGGGACAGUCGGGGGCAUCAGUAUUCAAUUGUCAGAGGUGAAAUUCUUGGAUUUAUUGAAGACUAACUACUGCGAAAGCAUUUGCCAAGGAUGUUUUCAUUAAUCAGGAACGAAAGUUAGGGGAUCGAAGACGAUCAGAUACCGUCGUAGUCUUAACCAUAAACUAUGCCGACUAGGGAUCGGACGGUGUUAUUUUUUGACCCG
rnacentral:rRNA from 1 species